CCUACGGGAGGCAGCAGUGAGGAAUAUUGGUCAAUGGACGAGAGUCUGAACCAGCCAAGCAGCGUGAAGGAUGACUGCACUCUGGGUUGUAAACUUCUUUUAUAUGGGAAUAAAAUGUUGCACGUGUGGGAUUUUGUAUGUACCAUAUGAAUAAGGAUCGGCUAACUCCGUGCCAGCAGCCGCGGUAAUACGGAGGAUCCGAGCGUUAUCCGGAUUUAUUGGGUUUAAAGGGAGCGUAGGUGGGUUGUUAAGUCAGUUGUGAAAGUUUGCGGCUCAACCGUGACAUUGCAGUUGAAACUGGCAGGCUUGAGUACAGUAGAGGUGGGCGGAAUUCGUGGUGUAGCGGUGAAAUGCGUAGAUAUCACGAAGAACUCCGAUUGCGAAGGCAGCUCACUGGACUGCAACUGACGCUGAGGCUCGAAAGUGUGGGUAUCAAACAGGAUUAGAUACCCUUGUAGUC
rnacentral:rRNA from 1 species